AAUCUACGCAUAUUGUUCGUUAUUAUUUCCAUAGCGUAGCUCGCGGUUUAAAAUAAAAAAGAACAAUUAUCACGAUGAUAACAUUUCGCAUCACAAGUUUCCAAUCAAUAUCGAUGCGCGGGAUAGAUGGCUAAAUGCCAUUGCGAACGCGGAUUAAACCACUGAUAAGUAAACCGAAGACUUUCAAUGCACAUUCUCACAUACCAGCUUUGCGCAGUUUUUGUCUUGUUUGGCGCAUUUUGUACCAUUUUCA